rnacentral:misc_RNA from 1 species
CGAGUGAAGCGGCAACAGCUCAAAUUUGAAAUCUGGCUCUCGGGCCCGAGUUGUAAUUUGUAGAGGAUGCUUUUGGUGAGGUGCCUUCCGAGUUCCCUGGAACGGGACGCCAUAGAGGGUGAGAGCCCCGUCUGGUUGGACACCGACCCUCUGUAAAGCUCCUUCGACGAGUCGAGUAGUUUGGGAAUGCUGCUCUAAAUGGGAGGUAUAUGUCUUCUAAAGCUAAAUACCGGCCAGAGACCGAUAGCGCACAAGUAGAGUGAUCGAAAGAUGAAAAGAACUUUGAAAAGAGAGUUAAAAAGUACGUGAAAUUGUUGAAAGGGAAGCGCUUGUGACCAGACUUGGGCUUGGUUGAUCAUCCGGGGUUCUCCCCGGUGCACUCUUCCGGCCCAGGCCAGCAUCAGUUCGCCCUGGGGGACAAAGGCUUCGGGAAUGUGGCUCUCUCCGGGGAGUGUUA